ensembl:lncRNA
GGGAGCUCAGCCAGUCUGGCAAACAAUCUUCAGAAGAGAGACACAAGGAAAGAACAAAGAAGAUCCAAGUCCACUCAUGGAUUCAGUCCAAAGACGCCAAUGAAAAGCUCAUACAGUCCUUCUGCUGGGACACAUGAACAUCUUCAUCAGAGGCUGAAGCAUCACUGCACACUUGGAGUGAACAGCAGUCAGAGAGUUUGAGACGAGAGAUUAAGGACAAUCAGAAACACUGCAGACAAGACCAACAUUCUAUGCAGCAGACAUGUCUGUUAACUCAUCAUCAACGUCCAACUAUCUCUACGCUUGUGCCAGUGUUGUUAGCAUGUACAUGUACUAUACCAUCACUGCAUUGAGAACCAUCCUCCUCCUCCCUCUCUCCACCUUCAUCCUCUACCUGGGUCAUCAAAGAUGGAGGCAGCAUCGUUCCUCUAAAGCAGUGACUCACUCUGACAUCUUCACCUACAAUGUUGCUGCCAUGGAUCUCAUCUGGAUCUUGGGAAGUUUCUGCAUCUUUGGUGGUCAAUACACUAAUCACUCAGCAAUGCUACUAGUUGGACUGUAUCUGUGUUCUGUUCCUUACUGUGGAGAGCUUUUUUUUCACAUGCUGACCUGUGUGGAGCGCUACCUGGCUGUG